rnacentral:lncRNA from 1 species
CAUUAGGGGUUAAAAACCAAGCUGGAGACGUUUUCUAUAGUAUGAACUAAAUGACCAAUUAUUUGGUCGUCUACUGAUAACUAGAGCUAGAAAAUGCAGAGUAUCUUAGUAGUCCAGUUGAUUGGCUACCUAAAUUUCACCUUGUUUGUAAGAGAUUGAUUUCCCAUGUUGUAAAUCUCCUUCCUCAUUUUCCCUUGAAAAAAAUAAAUAGAAAAUGUGUAUGAAGUAGUCCUCAUUUUGCAGCUGGAUUUGCGAUCUUUAGUCCAUGUUCCAUGCUUUACACUAUGAUUUAAUCAGAAUAAUACAGUUCGGAAAGACAUGUUAGACUAGUCCCAUAAUUUUUUUUUUUGAUUUUGUUUUUCUAGAAUCAAAUCAAUCAAAUGGUAGGCAACAAGUUUUGAAAGUUCAAUCCAAGACCAAAAACAUAUGACUUUCUAGGAGACAAGUAAAAAAAGGAGAUAGUCAAGUACUAAUUGAUUUGUUGUGCGUUAGGUGUCCGCUUCUGAUCAUUUGUAAUUUUAUAAGUUGUUUUUUGAUUCAACGUCUCUUUUGUAUAAUUGGUACUGAUGCUAAAUUUUGUAGACCACUGCCACUGCUAAAAGAUAUGGAGGACUUAAGCCAAAGAAGAAGCCUUUGAUUUCAAAG